UACGUAUGGAGCAAGCGUUAUCCGGAAUUACUGGGUGUAAAGGGAGCGUAGACGGAUGUGCAAGUCUGAUGUGAAAGGCGGGGGCUCAACCCCUGGACUGCAUUGGAAACUGUAAAUCUUGAGUGCCGGAGAGGUAAGCGGAAUUCCUAGUGUAGCGGUGAAAUGCGUAGAUAUUAGGAGGAACGCCGGUGGCGAAGGCGGCUUACUGGACUGUAACUUACGUUGAGGCUCGAAAGCGUGGGGAGCAAACA
rnacentral:rRNA from 1 species